rnacentral:rRNA from 1 species
UUGGACGGCCAUAGGGACUUGGUUCACCUGUUCCCAUCCUGAACACAGAAGUUAAGAAGGUCUCCGUAUUGGUGAGUACUGCAUUACGCGGGAAAAUCGGUAAGCUGUCCACC